ACAACACCCAGAGUGCACUGCGGGCUGCUCGGUCACGUGGCGGGAGGCAGCCAAUCAUAGCAGCUUCGCCUCGAGCUGGCCUGCGCCGGGCCUCUCUUAGCUACUCGGGCGGGAGAUGGCGCUAGUCAGAGUCGGGCGCCGCGGGGGCGGGGCUUAGCGGUACCGAUAGUACGUGGCCACCUGUGAGGUGGUUCGGCUCCCUCCAUGACACUGGUGUCCGCGCUUCCCUGUGACAUCACUUCUCAGCGCAGAAUGCAGCAGGCAGACGGCGCCAUGGGCGGUCUGGUAUAGGGUAUAUAGAACAGAAGAUGGAGAUGCUGCCAGUUGAUAAGGAGCAGUUAAUAAACCCAAGUUUGCGAUGAGCCUGAUAGAGAUUAACACCCAUUCGUUGCCCAGAAGCUAUACACAGAGAGAAAAGAAAACCCCUGACAGACGGGACAAAGAUACCCUGAGGAGACUUCCACCGCAGGGGUCGUUCCGUUUACCACAGAGAACUGAACUCCUGCCUGGUAACAGAAUACUACCGUAUGCCCUUAUACAGGGGUUACCCCCUCUCCCCCCCCUAUUCCAAUUGUAGGAAAGAAUUCUUAGUAUGAGGUGGGACACCGCAGGGAUCGGAGCCCUCAGCCAUUUUAUCCCAGUAUUCCCGGCCUCCUGCAGAGGGUUAUCAGCAAGGCCUGUAAUUUCCCUCACUUCUCUGACCUGUCCUACCUGGGGUUUAAUGACACAGAAGUCAUAUUACGGAGGUGGCUUCUCUGUUCCUGCACUGAAUUCUAACCUUACUCUCAUUAAUCCAACACCUGAACCUGGUGCUCUCUUCCUCUCAUAGAAAUCAUUCAGCUUGAUAAAAGCUACAAUCUGAUUGUUCACUAAUAAUUCUUCCAUUCAUCCUGUCCAAGUUAGACAGUGAAACAAAUGUCUGACUCGUUGCUAUGGGUUACUACAGAUUGGCCUCAGUAAUUAAAAUACGAAAUGUCAGUAGACACGUAUGUUAUUGAAUAAACAACACGCAAAAAAACCCAAACCUCAAAUGUUAAUACAGGUUGAGUAUCCCUUAUCCAAAAUGCUUGGGACCAGAGGUAUUUUGGAUAUCGGAUUUUUCCGUAUUUUGGAAUAAUUGCAUACCAUAAUGAGAUAUCAUGGUGAUGGGACCUAAAUCUAAGCACAGAAUGCAUUUAUGUUUCAUAUACACCUUAUACACACAGCCUGAAGGUCAUUUUAACCAAUAUUUUUAAUAACUUUGUGCAUUAAACAAAGUGUGUCUACAUUCACACAAUUCAUUUAUGUUUCAUAUAACCUUAUACACACAGCCUGAAGGUCAUGUAAUACAAUAUUUUUAAUAACUUUGUGUAUUAAACAAAGUUUGUGUACACUGAGCCAUCAAAAAACAAAGGUUUCACUAUCUCACUCUCACUCAAAAAAGUCCGUAUUUCGGAAUAUUCCGUAUUUCGGAAUAUUUGGAUAUGGGAUACUCAACCUGUAUUUGCACUACACAAUAAAAUCCAACAGUUUUAGAUCAGCCCCUGCGAUGUAAUAAUGCAUUACCCUUCCGAUUCCAAAUACAGGCGGCUGCGGGGAUACACGUCCUUGUAGAACGCUGUUUCAUGUGUAGUAACCUAUGGCGAUACCGUUACACCCUAUCAGACAUGGAAUCCACCUCUUCUGUCCCGCCGGCUCUUGCGCAAAGGCUUUUGGCCACUGACCUUACACCAUGCAGCCGACGCGCACUGCAAGGUGGUGGAGAAAAUGGGACAAAUUUCUGAUUUGCAACACUCUGGGAACGUGUUUAUUGUCAUUGUUUAAGUGCAAAUGUAUAAAUACGGCAAAGUGAAGACUCCAGGCUGCAGCUGAUGAAAGGCAGAAAAUAAGUAAUUUUCUGGCCAUAAGUGGCGUAGGCUAAUGGCGAUUUUUGAGGCAUUGGACCAUGGAAGUUACUUAGCACAUUGAUUACUGUGAAACUGGGCAAGAGGCUUAUUUCUUAAUUACUGUUACACACUGUGUCAGGCUAACACUCCCAGGCACUCUCCCAGCCAUAGAGUUAUUCAAGACUUAUAAAGGAGCCCGGCUCGGUGUGCGAGAGAGACCCAUCGCCGUGACCGCUGGGGAGACAACGGGGGUGCCAAGAUCCCAGCGUUAAUGACUCAGUUAUUAUUCAUGUUCUAGCUUCCCGUCAUUAGCACUUGCUGAAACACGUUACAGAUCAUCUCACAUACACAAGCGAUACGUCACUUAUUGAUGACAGACCACAGACCGACCCAAUUAUUUCCGGUUUAGAAUUCCCAUUUCCUCAACCAAUGUCAUAAGUUUGCAAAGAACCAAAAAAGACGGGGGGGAAAAAAGUUACAAAAAAGAAUGAAAAAGCUAUAGGCAAAAUGCAGUUCUGCAAUGGAAAAUUCCUGGUAUUAAUAGAAGCGAUUCAUUUUCCAUAAGUGGUAACCUGAAGAUUUGUAGUGGUGAGGAAAGGGCAAGGGUGCUUCUCCUAUGUUUGUGCGCCCAGACGGCUGGCUGCUAUCCCAGAAUCCGCUUAUACACUGAAGAGCGCAUUGGAAGGGGAGAGAGGUUCUAUGCCUGCGAGAGAACUGGACCCACUCCAGCAAAUUGUGGGAGAAAAUAAAAGUGGAAGGUACAAUGUAUAAAUUGCAAACAAAUGGUCACUAUUCCUAUGUCCGAGGGCUUCAUCCCCCAAUCUGCUUCCUCCAUACCAACAUCUGCUGAUGUUCUUGACAGUGGUUUAGGUUUUUCUUACCUCCCGUGGCCCAUUAAAUUUACACCACCUCAACAUUCUGCCGAGCAAAACAAUUAAAUGAUAUGCCUGAAUUCCCUCUUAAUUAAAUGUGGCUUGUUAAGGAACUUGCUGUGACCUGAUCCUGGGACGGAUACCUUACAUUCAACGUAUGUUUGGCCAUGGAACUCUAUGUGGUAUCGGUUAGGGUCAUUGCAUGGCAAUGAAUUGCGCUGCCCACUACCAUAAACUGUGUACACACCGGCGGUUUUAACGUCAUUAUUUUCUUUCUAAUUUUUGUGAAUGAUUAAAUGCGAGAAGAAAUUAGUAUAAACUGCGUUGCAUCUGUGUAUGUGUUGAUUUGCAUUUAACAACAUACUCAAAACAAAAACCGCUGUUCCCUUGAUCACGCCAAAAGCAUAUGUUAGCGCCUGCUAACCGCAUCUCAUUGCAUACAACGCGCUGUAAUUGAGAUGAAAGCAAUUUGCAAGUUUUCAGCUGCCUUAAGGCUCAUCAGGCACACCGAUAUGGGACAGGAAUCACCGAAAUAAUGUAGCACAACUUAAAUAACCAUAAAACACACAUAUUUACUCAUCUAUUUGAUACAAUGAUUACUAUUUUCAUAUCGGUUUACGUGUGCUUAUUUCUCAUCAUUAAACACGCAAAUUAAAAGAAGAAUUUACACACCAGUGUGUAUAUAACCGGAGCUUCCGCCGCAUAAUGUUAGGGAUGGAAUUUGCAAGAUAGUAGGGGUUUAAAAUGCUGGUAAUAAAAAAAAAAAAAAAAAAAAAAAAUAUAUAUAUAUAUAUAUAUCUCACAGAGCCAUAGUCUAUAGAAACACGGUACAUCUUUUAUUGUUGUAUUCAGUUCUCGUAAUGAAUAUUUAUCGACAGUGUUCUAUGACUUCUUAAUGUCAACAAAAGUCUUUAUAUUGCAUUUUGCAGAAUACAAACCAUCAUAAAAUGGUUUACAUUAUUUGUAAGAUUCAGCUUGUCAUUUAGAACAUGUUCCAUUUCUUUCUAAUUUCAGUUUCAUUAGCUAUAGUUUCACACAUCACAAAUCCAGGUCAAUACACAAUCUAUAUUCUCAAACAGAGACAAGCUUUAUGAUUUACUAAACACAGCGGCGUCACGUGACAGCGCCAAAUGCAUACAGAAUCAUAACACGACCUGAAAUCCUCUCAUCAGUUCCGGAGGGUCCUGUAACAAAUUGCUCUGCGUCGUCCCCUUCAUAAAUAACGUUCUACAGAGAUAGCGGCUACCUGCACUCUACAUGCAAAAUACAUUCAGCUACCACCUGCAGCAACGAUAGGGGAAGGACCUUUUGUGUUUUAGGGGUGUAGCUGCCGUCCGGGUAACAGGGUCAGAUUAAUAGCUAUGGUCCAGCCUUUAUGUUUAUCUCUGGAAAUUGAAAACAGGAUGGAAAAAAAAAAAAACAUUGAUCAAAUAGUUUUGUGUGUGGCGGAUCCUACUUUGCUGUAUCUGUGUUGGCUAUAACAUAUAUAUUUAAUAAAUAAUUUUAAUCUGCCGCAUACUUAGUAGCUUCAGCAGUAACCACCAGUAUUUCUCAGAUUAAUAUACAAAGAUUAUUGUAACGAUACCAAAAAUUGAUUCUUCGUUUUUGCUUUAAACCCAUGUUAAUAAUAAGGCCACGGUAAUUGUAUGAUAUUAAAUGAUCUUACACUCUCUCUGAUAUUUCUGUCACAUGCAUUUAAAAGAUCUUUAAACAGUCAAAGCAAGACAAACAUACACCACCAGCACUAGGUAUGUAUUCACAGCUUGUUUUCUGCCAUUACCGAAUGCAUGAUGAAAUACAGAUUUUGCAACUGUUUAUUGUA